rnacentral:lncRNA from 1 species
GUGGUGAUCAGUUGGACCUUUGAUUGAGUAACAUUUAUUUUUUUUGAUUGACCUCCUCCCUGCGGGAGGUCAAAUUCAAGUUGCAAUUAAACUUUGUUUUGUUAAGUUUUUUUAUUGUGAUUCGACAUAACAUAAACGUUGUUAUAAAUUUUCUGCGUUGAAGUUGGUAGUUCUUCCAAAGGAGGAGCUCGAUUCAAUUUAUAUAUAUCGAUUCGUUUUUCCAGGUACUUCCGACUUG